UGUCUUACAAGGGAUAGCUGUGUCAUUUCAAAUACAGAUGUCAAGGCUGGACGCAGUGGCUCACGCCUGUAAUCCCAGCACUUUAGCAGGCCGAGGCAGGCAGAUCACCUGAAGUCGGCAGUUCGAGAUCAGCCUGACCAACAUGUAGAAACCCUGUCUCUACUAAAAAUACAAAAUUAGCUGGGCGUGGUGGCGUAUGCCUGUAAUCCAGCUACUUGGGAGGCUGAGGCAGGAGAAUCGCUUGAACCUGGGAGGCAGAAGUUGCAGUGUGUUGAGAUGGCGCCAUUGCACUC
rnacentral:lncRNA from 10 species